GAUAGAGAUUGCAUAAUGUGUAGGCCUGGUAAGGAACUUGUGUAUUUCUAUGAAGGGUUAAUUAUAAUAAUAACAACAAUAAUAAUUAUGAUAAUAAUAAUACCAAAACAUAAUUAUUUUCUGGUUUUCUUUUCAACAGGAUAUCGUGUACAUAGUCAUUGUACUAUAUCUAAACAUACACCUUUCUGUGUGGCCUGUAUUGACUCCACCUUCCUUGAUGAGCCCAGUGGUAAAACAACAUGCAACAGCUGUACCACAUGUGAUCCAGGUUUGGGUUUGAAGGUAAAGCAGUCAUGUAGACCUUCAUCAGACAAAGUCUGUGGGACACUGGAGGGGUUCUACUGUCUAGACCCAACUAAGGAUGGUUGUAGAGCAGCCCAGAGACACAGCAGCUGUAAACCUGGUCAAUACAUCAGUCACACUGGAACAACAUCUACAGAUACUGUGUGUUCUGACUGUACUGGUGAUACCUAUUCAGAUGGAUCAUUAACAGCCUGCCAGACAUACACACAGUGUAAAUCUUUAGGUCUUCAAGAACUUAGACCAGGAACUAAUUUGUCCAAUUCUGAAUGUGGACCACAAUCCUCAAAAAUUCAAACUGGUAUCAUCAUUGGUGUUGUUGUGGCAUCAGUCCUAAUAGCUCCUGCAAUAA